UACGUAGGGGGCAAGCGUUAUCCGGAUUUACUGGGUGUAAAGGGAGCGUAGACGGUUAAUCAAGUCAGAAGUGAAAACCCAGGGCUCAACCUUGGGACUGCUUUUGAAACUGAGUAGCUAGAGUGCAGGAGAGGUAAGCGGAAUUCCUAGUGUAGCGGUGAAAUGCGUAGAUAUUAGGAGGAACACCAAUGGCGAAGGCGGCUUACUGGACUGUAACUGACGUUGAGGCUCGAAAGCGUGGGGAGCAAACAGG
rnacentral:rRNA from 1 species